UACGGAGGGUGCAAGCGUUAUCCGGAUUCACUGGGUUUAAAGGGUGCGUAGGCGGGCAGGUAAGUCAGUGGUGAAAUCUCCGAGCUUAACUCGGAAACUGCCAUUGAUACUAUUUGUCUUGAAUAUUGUGGAGGUACGCGGAGUAUGUCAUGUAGCGGUGAAAUGCUUAGAUAUGACAUAGAACACCAAUUGCGAAGGCAGCUUACUACACAAUGAUUGACGCUGAGGCACGAAAGCGUGGGGAUCAAACAGG
rnacentral:rRNA from 1 species